CUUUCUGCAAACUCGCAUUUAGGAGUCUGAUUGGAGGAGGCGGGAGCAGGUGGAAAUAAUGAGCGUGGAGGGGCUGCUCGUUCACCGGCCACCCAUGGCCCCUCUAUCACCUCCAGUUUGCUCCGGGCACUUGAUACUUGGCUGUGACCUCACCCGUCGUCUUGCCAGUCUGGUAGUCAGGACUGCCGAAUCCUCCCGCUGCCUCCGGGGAAAGGAGAAAAUCUUCAGGAUCUAGGACUGAAGGGUUCCUUGACUCGACAUCAAAAGCACCAUGCUCAAGAGGAAAUCUGAUAAACUGGAUAUCAUCGACAUGAAAACCAUUUGCUUUGUGAAAGGCAAGAGGAUGAAAAGACAAGAAGCCUAGAAUUGAAUGCAGCAGUAAUACAAACCAUAAGAAUCUGUGCUUACCUUAGAGGUCCAAACAAUGUACUAUGAGAAUGCGAAGGACAAUGAGAGUAAUUUCAGCCAAGGAAACCUGCAAAGUGUGAUGAAGUGAGAACCAAGCUAGGAAUCAAAAGACAAGUCAGUAGGAUUGUAAGAGAUGGACCCAAGAGUAAGAGGAGCAUCUAAGACAGAAUCAGCAAACGCUAGAAGGAAGGAAGGGCUUCCCUGGUGGUUCAGUCAGUAAACAGUGUGCCUACAAUGCAGGAGACCCGGGUUCAAUCCCUGGGUCGGGAAGAUCCCUUGGAAAAGGAAAUGGAAACCCACUCCAAUAUUUUUGCCUGGAGAACCCCAUGGACAGAGAAGGCGAAAGGAAGGACACAGGUGUGGGAAAACAUUGUAGUAAAGGAAAGGAUGGGCUUCCCCGGUGGCUCAGAUGGUAAAGAA
ensembl:lncRNA